rnacentral:rRNA from 1 species
AUUGAACGCUGGCGGCAGGCCUAACACAUGCAAGUCGAGCGAGCGGCGGACGGGUGAGUAAUGUCUGGGUAACUGCCUGAUGGAGGGGGAUAACUACUGGACACGGUAGCUAAUACCGCAUACUAUCGGAUGUGCCCAGAUGGGAUUAGCUAGUAGUUGGGGUAAAGGCUCACCUAGGCGACGGUCCCUAGCUGGUCUGAGAGGAUGACCAGCCACACUGGAACUGAGGCACGGUCCAGACUCCUACGGGAGGCAGCAGUGGGGAAUAUUGCACAAUGGGCGCAAGCCUGAUGCAGCCAUGCCGCAUGUGUGAAGGAGGCCUUCGGGUUGUAAGGCACUUUCAGCGGGGAGGCGUUACCCGCAGAAGAAGCACCGGCUAACUCCGUGCCAGCAGCCGCGGUAAUUC